rnacentral:rRNA from 1 species
GGGCUCACACAAGCGGUGGAGGAUGUGGCUUAAUUCGAGGCUACGCGAAGAACCUUAUCCUAGUCUUGACAUGUAUGGAUUAACCCUAUGAAAGUAGGGCCACGCCUUCGGGUGGAACAUACACAGGUGCUGCAUGGCUGUCGUCAGCUCGUGUCGUGAGAUGUCGCGUUAAGUCGCUUAACGAGCGAAACCCUUGUCUCUAGUUGCCAGCGAGUAAAGUCGGGGACUCUAGAGAGACCGCCGGCGUUAAGCCGGAGGAAGGCGGGGAUGACGUCAAGUCCUCAUGGCCCUUAUGACUAGGGCUGCACACGUCCUACAAUGGAUCGCACAAAGGGAUGCAAAACCGCGAGGUCGAGCAAA